UGCCUGUACAAAUUGUGGACUUUAUUAUACCAGGAUGGGUGGCAGUUGGUGGGGGUGUAUGUUCAUUCUAUUUAAGGGUGUUAUGGUGAUUCAACAUGGCGGCGACCAUGCAAAAAAGUUUAUUGGAGGCUCUGGAUGCGAUUCGAACACAUGAAAUUGAGACGACAACUCGUUUGGUGUCAUGGUCUUCGCUGAAAGGAUUUGGAAAUCUUGCAGGGGAGAGUUCAGGAUUAGACGUUAGAGAGGGCAUACCUAAGGGGCGUACUCCGCUCCCCAAGAGAGGGCAUACCUAAGGGGCGUACUCCGCUCCCCAAGAGAGGACAUACCAAAGGUGC